rnacentral:lncRNA from 1 species
CAAAGUCUUUCACUGCCCAGAACUUUGGAAAUGUAAUUAGUUCCCAGUCCAGAUUGUAUUUAACUAUUUGUUUUUCUUGCAAGUCAAAGUUUGUCUGCUUAGUCCUCAAUAACUACUGUUUUUUUUCUUGCCCCUCCCAACAGCUAUCUCACUUCUACUGGGAAGUACCAGAUGUCAGACUGGGUUGCAAAGUACAGGAGGCUUGCACAACCACAUUCCAGUGAAGCUCAACCAGUCCUGAGGAAAGAGUGACGUGGAGAUCACGCGUUGGGAUUGAGUCACAUGAAGAAAAAACAGUCCACAAUGCUGCUGUGUAUCCGCAUGGGAAUACUGUGACUGACCUAAACUAGACCACUCUUUGCCCUCAAUAUAUUGUUCAGUUGGCCAGUUACGGAGUUCCUGGAAGGAAGUAGAAUAUCGAACUAGGCCCUCAGCAGCUCAAUGACUGUUGGUACACUGUUCAUCAAACUUAAAUGAAAAUGCUUGAAUUCAAUGUCACAAAUAUUAUAUUAUAAUUAAUGCAGCUGUUUUUAUCUCAAUAUCAAAACGUUUCUGGGUAACAAUGAAGUACCCUACUGUGAAUGUUUUCAAUUAAAAAUGUCAAAAAGACACUAAAAUAGCUUCUUAGCAAGGAACAAUUUCUAAAGCAAGAUUUUUGUUAGGACUGUGGGAGUGGUCUGGCAGGUCAGAACUCAAUCCCUCCAAAACAGGCUGAAAUUUCAGGCAGUCUUUUCAAACAGCUCUUACACUAAAAGGGCAUUAUCAUAAUUUUCACAAUAUCACAAUAUUAUCCCAACCUCAUAGUGUGGAAAUAUAUAUAAAACACAGAAAAAUCAUGUUUUGGACUACAGUGGUCCAGCUCAGGUCAAGUCGUUAGUCUAGAUGGUGCUCAGUAUAUGAAUUUAACCUUCACACUGAAAAAUCAGUGCACCUAAAAAUAACUGAUGAUAACUGCUUGGUCAGUAUGACCAUCUCUAUGCCUCCUCUUGAAAUAAAAUAGAAGAACUAUAACAACAGG